rnacentral:rRNA from 1 species
AACGAACGCUGGCGGCAGGCCUAACACAUGCAAGUCGAGCGAGGACUUCGGUCCUAGCGGCGGACGGGUGAGUAACGCGUGGGAACGUGCCCUUUGCUUCGGAAUAGCCCUGGGAAACUGGGAGUAAUACCGGAUGAGCCCCUCGGGGGAAAGAUUUAUCGACGAAGGAGCGGCCCGCGUUGGAUUAGGUAGUCGGUAGGGUAAUGGCCUACCAAGCCGACGAUCCAUAGCUGGUUUGAGAGGAUGAUCAGCCACACUGGGACUGGGACACGGCCCAGACUCCUACGGGAGGCAGCAGUGGGGAAUCUUAGACAAUGGGGGAAACCCUGAUCUAGCCAUGCCGCGUGAGCGAUGAAGGCCUUAGGGUUGUAAAGCUCUUUCAGCUGGGAAGAUAAUGACGGUACCAGAAGAAGAAGCCCCGGCUAACUCCGUG